rnacentral:rRNA from 1 species
UCAGGAUGAACGCUGGCGGCGUGCCUAACACAUGCAAGUCGAACGGAAAGCUACCGCUUCGGAGACUUCGGUCAAUGUUUGGAGUUUUUAGUGGCGGACGGGUGAGUAACGCGUGGAUAACCUGCCAUAUACAGGGGGAUAACAGUUAGAAAUGACUGCUAAUACCGCAUAAGCGCACGGAAACGCAUGUUUCAGUGUGAAAAAACUUCGGUGGUAUAUGAUGGAUCCGCGUCUGAUUAGCCAGUUGGCGGGGUAACGGCCCACCAAAGCGACGAUCAGUAGCCGGCCUGAGAGGGUGAACGGCCACAUUGGGACUGAGACACGGCCCAAACUCCUACGGGAGGCAGCAGUGGGGAUAUUGCACAAUGGGGGAAACCCUGAUGCAAGCGACGCCGCGUGAGUGAAGAAGUAUUUCGGUAUGUAAAGCUCUAUCAGCAGGGAAGAUAAUGACGGUACCUGACUAAGAAGCACCGGCUAAAUACGUGCCAGCCGCGGC